AUGCCAUGGAUAGUAAUUCCUCUGAUGGAUCCAGGCAAAGUUGUGUAUGAAAGAUGUGAGAUGCUGCGGCCCACCCUGUUCCGGCUUGCAAGCGACACCACUGAUGAUGACGAUGCACUAGAGGAGAUUCCUCAAGCAAAUGACCUUCUCACACAUGGGUUUCUGCUGUACAAACAGGUGGUGGAGGGCUGAGUCAAUGCUUGGAAUGCAGUGGGAGCCAUUCCUGGCCCCAGAGUAUUCCCGAAUCCAGAACCCUGUGGGAAGAACUGCCCCCUCAUUGACCUGGAGACGCCAUUUUUGCUUCAUCAGGACCUGGCAGCCUUAGGGAUCAACGAUGUUCCCACUAGGAACCAGGUUGUUAUUCCAAGUUGCUGUAAGGACAAGAAGCAGCCAGGUGGCAUCACACUCCUGGGGGGUGGAAUCCAGAGUCUUUCUGCAGACCGGAACUUGCUGGAUCUCUUCUCGCCACAGCCAUAUCCAGGACCACUGAAUUAUGUUCCACAAAAAACCAUCCCGAAGGAGAUGCCAUCAGGUACCAAGGCCUCUCCAGGUUGGUCCUGGGAGGCUGGGCCAUUGGCUUCUUCCACAGCCUCACAGAAUACACCUCUGGCUCACGUGUUUGUCCCUUUGGAGUCUGUGAAACCCAGCAGCCUGCUGCCUGUCAUCGUGAAUGAUGGGAACGGCUUCCAAAUUCUGCUGCACUUCUCCCAGACUGGGACCCCUGGCCACCCGGAUGUCCAGGUGCUGUUGUUGACCAUGAUGAGCACUGCCACCCAGCCUGUCUGGGAUGUCAUGUUUCAGGUGGCCGUCCCAAAGUCAAUGCGGGUGAAGCUGCAGCCGGCAUCCAGUUCCAAGCUCCCUGUAUUCAGUCCUUUGAUGCCUCCAGCCGUGAUAUCUCAGGUGCUGUUGCUUGACAACCCACACAAAGAACCUAUCCAGUUGUGAUAUGAGCUGACUUUCAACCAGGGUGGGCAGCCGUUCAGUAAAGUAGGAAAGGUGAAAGAUUUUCCAGACCUGGCUUUCUUGAGCACUGCCUGA